AACGAACGCUGGCGGCUUGCCUAACACAUGCAAGUCGAACGAGACCUUCGGGUCUAGUGGCGCACGGGUGCGUAACGCGUGGGAACCUGCCCUUAGGUUCGGAAUAACUCCCCGAAAGGGGUGCUAAUACCGGAUAAUGUCUUCGGACCAAAGAUUUAUCGCCUUUGGAUGGGCCCGCGUUGGAUUAGCUAGUUGGUAGGGUAAAAGCCUACCAAGGCGACGAUCCAUAGCUGGUCUGAGAGGAUGAUCAGCCACACUGGGACUGAGACACGGCCCAGACUCCGACGGGAGGCAGCAGUGGGGAAUAUUGGACAAUGGGCGAAAGCCUGAUCCAGCAAUGCCGCGUGAGUGAUGAAGGCCUUAGGGUUGUAAAGCUCUUUUACCCGGGAUGAUAAUGACAGUACCGGGAGAAUAAGCUCCGGCUAACUCCGU
rnacentral:rRNA from 1 species